rnacentral:rRNA from 1 species
GGUUAAUUAAGAUAAUUGUGAUUUAAAAUAAAUAGCUUGAUUUUUUAUUAAUUUUUAUGAAAAAAUGAAUUUUAUUAUAGAGUAAUAGUAUUGUGAAAGAAUAAAUUUUUAUGUAUAAAAGAAAAAUUAAUUUUUUGUACCUUGUGUAUCAGGGUUUAUUAAUUAAUUAUUAAAAAUUUGAUUUUCUCGAAUUAAUAAGAGUUAUAUAAUAUAUAUUAUUUUUUUGUGUAAUAAAAAUUAUAAAUAUGUAUAUAGAAAUGAAACGUUAUUCGUUUGUUAAUAUAUCUAGUUUUUAAAGAAAAAAAUUUAAUUUUUUUAUUAUUUAGUAUUUAACUGAAUUUUUAGUUUAAUAUUUUUAAUAGAUUAUAUUUUAAGGGAUGAGCUUUAAAGUAGAAUUUUUUAAAGUUCUUAUAAAUUUUAAUUAAGUAGGAUUGUAAGUUUCUAUCUUUAAAAAUGUGUUGUAACUUUUUUAUUUUUAAUUAUGAUUUAUAUGUAUUUUAAGAUUUUUUAUUUAAAUAAAAAUUAUAAUAAUUUUAAUUUUGUAAAAAUGAUAGAAUUAGUAUAGUAUUUAUGUAUAUAUAUAUAUAUAUAUAUAUAGGUUAAGUAAAGGAACUCGGCAAAUAAGUUUUUCACCUGUUUAUUAAAAACAUGGCCUUUUGCUAAAUAAUUUAAGGUCUGGCCUGCCCAAUGAGGUUUUAAAUGGCCGCGGUAUUUUGACCGUGCAAAGGUAGCAUAAUCAAUAGUUUUUUAAUUGAAAGCUGGUAUGAAAGGUUGGAUGAGAAAAAAUCUGUCUCUAUUUAAUUUUCUUAGAAUUUUAUUUUUAAGUUAAAAAGCUUAAAUUAAGAUAGAAGACGAGAAGACCCUAUAGAGUUUUAUUAAUUUAUAAUAUAAUAUUUUUAGUAUUUAUAAAUUUUAUAUUAUAAAUUAAUUUAGUUGGGGUGAUUGAAAAAUUUAAUAAACUUUUUUUAUAAAAAUUUCAUAAAUUCAUGAGUAGUUGAUCCUUUAAUUAAGGUUGUAAGAUUAAAUUACCUUAGGGAUAACAGCGUAAUUUUUUUAGAGAGUUCUUAUCGAAAAAAAAGAUUGCGACCUCGAUGUUGGAUUAAAAUAAAAAUUUGGUGUAGAAGCUAUAAUAUUUAGGUCUGUUCGACCUUUAAAAUUUUACAUGAUCUGAGUUUAAACCGGUGUGAGCCAGGUUGGUUUCUAUCUCUAUUAAGUUUUAAUAUUUUAGUACGAAAGGACCAAAUAUUAGGCUAUUAGCUUAUUUUUGAAUAAUAUUAGUUAUUUUGGCAGAAUAGUGCGAUAGAUUUAGAAUCUU